CACACUAAAUUAUAGAAAUAUUGUACUUGACUCUUCCAAAAUAGGGAACUAUGAAUUCCCAAGACUAUAUGAAGAAUGGUUUCUCUCUCUCAGCUUUUGCUGGACCCUAAAAUAGAAUCCGGGUCUCUGUAAAGACAGCUUAACUCUGCUUUAGGCUGUGACAUUUCUCUGACAGUCUCUGGAAGAGGACCAAUACAGUAACACAGAUCAAGGUCCUAACUCACACAAAAAUAGCUGGGUGCGAAGGUGGUUGCUGGAAAGGAAGAAAGAGGGAAAGGAAUGAAACAUUAUUGUGAAGCUCAGAGAGAAAGCCGACUUCAGGCAAGAUUCAGUCUAAUGUCUCGGUGAUGUCGGCAGUGUGUCCUUAUCACUCCCCUUCCUUUCUUUCUGCUGCCUCCUCUUAAAUGGCAUCCCCUCAUGUUUGUUGGCUCCACAGAAGAAAAGGAAGGCCAGUAUGACUCAGAACUUUGUGAUGGGGAAACAUGCAGCAGAAGCAGCAGGGAUUUGACCUUCUACAAUCAUGGGAAUAGCUUAAGCAGCCUCUGGAUGGCUGUAGCCUUUGCCUCUGGCACUGCAGCUCAAAGUCCACAUGCCAGAAAGUGAAGAUGGAUGUAAAGAGGGAUCAAGAACAAGUUAGAAUUCACGGCAUGAGUCCCACGCAGAUGGACCCAAAUCUAUGCCAUUUUUGAUUACUUGGUCCAUAGUGACAAGGAUAGCCUGCAGAACCUGGGACCCUGGGAAAUAAACACACAUGUGGUCAAGGCAUCAUAGAAGCUGGAAAAGGAUCCAUGAGAAAGGAGGAGAGCUGCAGCCUCAGCUGCUGCUUCAGAGCACUGAGGGGAGUCAGCAGAUCAGUAACAAUAUGAGUGAGCUACAGAGUGACUGUUCCUCCCUUCUACCUCCAAGUCUCUCACAGAAUGUUUCUUAUGGCCCACCCAAACCAGAAACAUACAAGGAGAGAUUUCUGAAAAAUGAAGUUCAUCUAGCCAAGCUGACAUGUCACAGAGCCACCACAGCACUCUUACUGGCUCAUAGAAGUAGCCGAGAGUCCGCAUUUAAUUUUAGAAAGAGUAUAAUCAUGGGAGAUGCUGAUGACGAUGAUGAUAAUGGCAAUAACGGCAAAAACUAUGGAAGGUAAGUACAAUCAACCAGUGACCUCAUCUCAGACUGGAAGCCUCGGUUUCCUCACGUUAGUCUGAGAAAUGUUAACUACUUGACAAAAUGAGUGUCUUGUGAUAAAAUUCAAAAAGAGACAAGAUUAAGGCUGUUAACUCAUAAGGGGAGUAAGAGGGCUUGUAGUACUCCUG
rnacentral:lncRNA from 13 species